rnacentral:rRNA from 1 species
ACGCACGCUGGCGGCGUGCUUAACACCUGCCAGUCGCACGGAAAGGCCCUGCUUUUGUGGGGUGCUCGAGUGGCGAACGGGUGAGUAACACGUGAGUAACCUGCCCUUGACUUUGGGAUAACUUCAGGAAACUGGGGCUAAUACCGGAUAGGAGCUCCUGCUGCAUGGUGGGGGUUGGAAAGUUUCGGCGGUUGGGGAUGGACUCGCGGCUUAUCAGCUUGUUGGUGGGGUAGUGGCUUACCAAGGCUUUGACGGGUAGCCGGCCUGAGAGGGUGACCGGCCACAUUGGGACUGAGAUACGGCCCAGACUCCUACGGGAGGCAGCAGUGGGGAAUAUUGCACAAUGGGCGGAAGCCUGACGCAGCAACGCCGCGUGCGGGAUGACGGCCUUCGGGUUGUAAACCGCUUUCGCCUGUGACGAAGCGUGAGUGACGGUAAUGGGUAAAGAAGCACCGGCUAACUACGUG